rnacentral:lncRNA from 1 species
AGUCUGAUUGGUAACUCCAAUCUCUUACCAAAGGUUAGGGGAAUGGGUUCAUAUCUCUACAGUUAGGGCGAUGACAACAAGUCGGUUAUAGUGUUGAGAUGUCAAUACUUUUUUUUAAAAAAAAAAGAGAUUUCAAUACUUAGUAUCAGUACUUGCAUGAUAGAAGAAAUUCCCAUCAUUGGCCCUUAUCCAUUAUUGUCCUAAAUCGAUAUGGGUCGAAAAUAAUACACACACACACUCUCAUUCUCAUAGCAUAUAUCCCAUUUUAUUGUUUUAACAUCUACAAAUUUAAUUGUUGCUAAAAUCAGAUUUAAUCGAUAUGCCACGGAAUAGAGAUAUGACAUCUAUUUAAAAGAGAGAUAACUAGUAUACACUAAAAUUAAUUACUCAAAAGUCAAAUGUAUUUAGUGAUUUAGGACAGUCCAAAGUGUCUUGUACUCAUACCCAACAUGUCCAACUAACAGGGAUAAAAAGUUGUACUUGCACUCUAUUAUUUUUGUUAAUGUGAGUUAAAUUAAACUCAAUAUCCGACUCUAACAUAAUGGGUUUCCAAACCCACAAAAAUCUUUGCCAUCUCUAUAUGCAUCAGCAAAGACUCAUAUUUCCCUCUUAUUAUAGGGCAUGAAUAUGAAUGGCAAUCUAAGUUAAUAUUCAUUUAUAUGAACUGAAUUUGAUUCUAAUUAAAUUGGUUUAGGCGUAGAUAAAGCAAAAGGAUAAUUCAACCCCAAAGAUUGGGAAAAUAGUCAUGUAAACUCUAAAUUUUUAGUAAGAAACACCAAGAACCCAUUUUGAUCAUAAUACCCUUUAUAGAUAGUUUUAAAAAAUUAACUUUAAUUUUUUUUGAUAAA